AGGGGAGGAAAGGUCUUGAGGGAGCAGCACGCUUGCCUGAUGGGUGCCCAAAGCCAGGGGCAGGUGGAGGUGAGAGAAGGACAAGCUCUGCAAACGUUGCGGAAGCGCUCUGUCCAUGGAGAAGGCACAGGACUUCCAUGUGGGGAGCAGCUUACUCCUGCUGAGAACUUUGGGGAGACAGAGUGGAGCAGCCAUCUCAGACCUGAGCGGCUAAGGAGCUGGGUCCCCCUCUGUUGCACUGUGCAGAGCUGCUGGACUUUGCAGUAAGCAGCCUUCAGGUCUAAAGGCUCCACAUUGUAAGGAAGCCCAGUCACAUGGACAGACCAUAUGGGUCCAGUUGGCUGCCCCAGCCAAGGUUUCGGCCAACAGCCAAGAUUACCCACAGCCACGUGUAUGAAUGAGCCUUCAAAUGAGUCCAGCACCCAGCAGAAUAAUGCCCCCUCCAGUCUCACAAAGAUUUCCAUGCCCUAAUUCCUGGAACCUGUGAAUCUGCUACAUCACAUGGCAAGCAGAGCUGGCAGAUGGAAUUUAGGGUGUGGAGCUUGAGGUGGGGAGGGCAGCCUGGAUUACACAGGUGGGCCCUAUCUAAGCACAUGAGCCCUUAUACAAGCAAAGAACAUUUCCUCAGCUGCCAGACAGCUGGCAAACAGAAUUGGAGAGGCAGAGAGAUGUAAUCAGAAAGGGCAGAAGAGACUUAAAAGGAAGAGAUGCUCAACCUGCUGUGGCUACCUUUGAAAAUGGAGGAAUGGGGCUCCAAGCCAAGGGAUGCAGGCUGCCUCUUCAUUGGAGUACUGCCAGCAAGAAAACAGCCCAGCAAUUGCAAGGAAAUUAAUUUUCCCAACAGUCUGAAUGAGCAAGAAAAUGGACUCUCCCCUGCCACGCUCUGAGUUCAGCCUUGUGAGACUCUAAGCAGAUACCCACUCAAGCCCACAGGACGUCCAACCCAUAACAAUUGUAAGAUAAUAAACUGGGAUAGUUUUA
rnacentral:lncRNA from 1 species